GCGCCGGGCGACAUGCCGGUGCGCUUCAAGGGGCUGAGUGAAUACCAGAGGAACUUCCUGUGGAAAAAGUCUUAUUUGUCAGAGUCUUGUAAUUCCUCCGUGGGGCGAAAGUACCCAUGGGCUGGACUUAGAUCAGAUCAAUUAGGCAUCACGAAAGAGCCAAGUUUUAUUUCAAAAAGAAGAGUCCCUUACCAUGACCCACAGAUUUCAAAAUCUCUGGAGUGGAAUGGAGCUAUCUCAGAGAGCAAUGUGGUUGCAUCACCAGAACCAGAAGCCUCGGAAACACCAAAAUCACAAGAAGCAGAACAAAAGGAUGUUACUCAAGAAAGAGUUCACUCACUAGAAGCUUCCAGGGUUCCCAAAAGAACCAGAUCUCACUCUGCAGACUCCAGAGCUGAAGGGGCUUCAGAUGUGGAAAAUAAUGAGGGUGUAACAAACCAUACACCAGUUAAUGAAAAUGUGGAACUGGAACAUUCUACCAAGGUUCUUUCAGAAAAUGUAGAUAAUGGGUUGGAUAGACUUCUGCGUAAGAAAGCUGGAUUGACUGUUGUUCCUUCAUAUAAUGCCUUGAGAAAUUCUGAAUAUCAAAGGCAGUUUGUUUGGAAGACUUCUAAAGAAACUGCUCCAGCUUUUGCAGCCAAUCAGGCCUCUGAUGAUCAUUGUUGCCAGAUGCAGCACAUAUACUAAAUAUGAGACAGGGUAAUGAAAACUUGGGGAACU
rnacentral:sRNA from 1 species